rnacentral:rRNA from 1 species
UACGUAGGGUGCGAGCGUUGUCCGGAAUUAUUGGGCGUAAAGGGCUCGUAGGCGGUCUGUUGCGUCGGGAGUGAAAAUUCACAGCUUAACUGUGAACUUGCUUCCGAUACGGGCAGACUUGAGGUAUUCAGGGGAGAACGGAAUUCCUGGUGUAGCGGUGAAAUGCGCAGAUAUCAGGAGGAACACCGGUGGCGAAGGCGGUUACCUGGACCGGUUCUGACGCUGAUGCGCGAAAGCGUGGGUAGCAAACGAGG